UCAAAAAAGUUUGGAGACUACUGCUCUAGACACCAAGCACCGUUCAGGAAAGCCUUUCUGAAGAGGACUAGAGCUGUGAAACAGCUCGGUGGAGGGGCUCCAGAAACUCUCCUUGUGGCGGAGACAGGGAGAUUGGGUUCAACUGCAGUAGGACAAGGAAUCAGAGAACACAGGGAAGAAAGGUACAUAGGAGACAUUUCUCUAAAUGUCCUGGGGAAAGCCAGCUCAGACAAUGAGGACUGUCCUGAACACAGCUCCAGGGACAGAAGGUAGGUCUCACAGUCAGGGCCGUCCCUUGGGUAGGGUGAAUCGGGGCGAUCACUCUGGGCCCCGUACUUUGGGGGGCCCCUGCGGGCCGGCGCAAUUGGCCAGUGUGGUUGGUGCCAGAAGAGACGAAUCCAUCACUUCCGCCCUGGGCACUGCGCUCCCCGAGGGAUGGCCGUGUUCACAGUAGAGCCAAAAUAGGGUCUGUCACUCACAACUCCCCUUUAGGAAAGGAAACCCUGGUCUCAGAUCAGGUACUAGUAAUUAGACGAAUUGGAGUUUAACCUUAUAUGGGAUUGCUUAUUAGAAAAUGCAGCCUACAAGUAUAACUAAUGCUACCCAUGCAAAGACCCAAUGGUAAAAGAGUUUGACCAGCAAAUAGUGUAUCUCAAUGGGAAUAAUAGUUUUACUGUUUAUUAUUAUUCGUAUAUUUGUAUUAUAGCAGCACCAACAAAUCACAGGAAUUAGAAAAGGAAAAUGCCAUUUAAUACACUCUUGUAGACCAUUUCCCUUCGGCCAUGUUAAGAUUAUUCCCUAUGUAUAUUCUUUGUCUAGUCUUGUUUAAAAUGUACCAAGUGAUGAUGCUUUUGCCACUUACUGUGAUAGACAACUCCACAGCAUAAUAGAUCUUGGUGACAGGAUUUUCCUUUUAGUCAUCAGAUGUUCAGUAGCAGGGGGGUGUAUUGGGCUUUGGGAAUGAAGCAGAGCAUCUUGAGGAACUGAGUUCAGUGGAGACUGAGGGAAGAAAAUCAAGUCAAAAACUUCCUUUUCUUUAAUUAGAGGAACAAAAAUAUCAUCACCGCUUCUCUCUCUGCUCUUCUUGAUUGAUGGAGGGCCAGUCCUGUUUCGCUGUGUUUAUAAAAGCUUUUGAGAGAGUCAACAGAUGCUAGAUUUGGAAAGCCAAAUACAGUGUUUGUUUUGGAAGGGAGAAUUUUUCCUAAGGCUGGUUGACUUGUGUUACUUCUCUUUGGGAGCUUUCCCCAGUUUUGUCAUUGUUGAUUAUUCUUUGAUCCAGCAUGCUGAGAUUGGGAAGUCUUGGGAUUCCCAUUAGCAAUAGCUUCCUUUUUGACCAACUCUGCUUUUCUGAUGGACCCACCUCAGGUCUCUUUCAAUCAUGUCUGAUACUUGUGAUUUUGCAGUUCUGUUCAGAUGAGAAUCCCCAGCAGCCUUGCAGCACUAACCCCCUGAAAUGUCAGAUGGCAGAACUAGAACUUGGGAAUCAGGAGCAGUUCCUACAAGAGGAAGAACUGGCUUGGAGACUGCAGGAGGAGGAGUAGACUCAUGCAAGAGGAAGGCGGAACCAGGAACGCAAUGACAACUGUCGAGCAGCCCAGGUGGCUCAGGAUGAGGUAACAGGCUAGAUGAGAUUGCUAGAUAUAUGCAGAACCAGGAACUGAAAGCCCAGUGGAGAUCCCAUGAGACAAACCUGGGGACAGAGAACAGUGAUGAGGGGAGCAACUUAUCUGAGCCAAGGAGAAGCAAGAACAAAGAAGGCAACAGUUUCCUCAAAAUACUGUUGAAGAUCUGGACCCAGCUUUUAAGUCAAAAAAGAACCACCUGCUGAAGUGUUUGCAUUCUGCUCCCAAGCUGCCCAGUUACACACUGUCCCAGUUGAUGGCCUCUUUGAUUAUAUGGAUACCACCAUCGGACCUGCCUUUAUUCACCGACCAAACGUCAGCCUAAAACGCUAGGACGCCAAAAAUCCAGGGACAAGAAGGAAGGCUGUAAGCAGCAGUGAAUCCUAGAGCCUUCACCUACAGCCUACUUCUUCUAGCAACAAAAUAUAUUUCUUUGCCAUAACUGUGAGUUGAAUGAUGACUCCUUCUUUCUGGCUUAAUUACCAAUGGCUAGAUCUACAUAACACAAUUCCUUCCCUGUUCAAGGUUUUCUUUAUUACUUUGAUGGUGCCUUUUACUGAACUCAGGUGAAUGCACAGUAAGGUUGCUAUUCCUCGGUGUUAAUGAAUGGACAGUCUAUCGACAUAGUUGCUGUAUAUGAAAAUUUAGUUUUAGAUGAAAGUUUAACUCUGAGAGAAGUAAUUUGUCAUGUUGUUGUUAAUACAAUCAGGGAUGAACCCAAAAGUCUGCGUGCCACAUUUUUCCAGGAGCUUUAGGGAGCAAAUUGUUUCAAACAAUUAGAUGUGCCAUCAUGAAUUAUUGAGUCAAAACGUGAUGCUACUAUUGCAGUUGACAUUCAACUGUACAGUAUAUUACUUGUUUACCUGCCGAUGGGAUUAGAUCUGAAUUCCUUAUUUCAUUUUGUUAGAAUUAAGAUUUCAGCACAGCUGCAGUGAGACUAGACAUGUGUGAACUAAUUGCUCAUUAUAUUUUCCUCAAACUGCUUGGACAAACUUCUCAUUUUUUUCAGAAGAGGAGAAAAUAAUGGCUUGAAAAUAUUUUCCAGAAAGUAUUGAAGAAACUAAACUGGAAAAGAUGUGAACAAUAGCUUAACAUUUCUCUUGAAGACUGAUGUAAAUUGAGGAGACUGCAUGUGAUACUGCAAACUGCAUCAGACACUUCUCUGACAUGCUGCAAGGGAAAGGAGCUGUGUUUACUGUAUAUGUGUGAAAUAAUGGCACUUUUGAACCCCCAUUUAUCAUCAAGAACAUGUGCUUAUCUGGGAUCUAGAGUGGGAACAGGCCAUUCAUUGUGAACGUAGUAAAGGCAGGUACUACUGGAAUAUGUUCUAGGAAGUACAUGAGCCCAUGGCUAAGACUUUAAUAAAGACACUUCACAGAUCACUAUUGAUAAUUCAAAUACUGUAAAAGUUUUGAGAUAUGUUAAAUAGAUUUGCUACAGACAUUAUUCACUUGAGAUUACCUUAUUUCCUAUAGAGUUGUUUUUGACAUGGAGCAUAUUGAAGUGCAAAGCACAUUAUUUAAAAUUGGUGCUAAUGUUUUUAGUUUUACACUUUCAUGUGUGUUCAUUUUCUGCUCCUUGCACCUUCCAUAAAAUACAGUAGCACAGGCUACUGUUCAGCAGUUCUGUUGGCAAAUAAAAACUGUGUCCCUUGUAGGAAAUGCCCUGGUAGUGUUCUGAACCUUCCUUUGCAUUUGUACCAUGUGUUAAUUUCAGUGUGUAUUUCAAGCUCUGUUUAUAAACCUACUUGUAGAUGUAUGCAUUAUGCCCUUCAUAUUCCAAGUUAAAUAAAAUAGCAGUUUUUUAAAUGGAAGUUAGCCCGAAGA